AAAAGAGGAAGGAAGCAUGCAAAAAAGGAGAAAACAUGAAGAAAACAAAGGAGAAGCACACGUUGGAGUGUGCGUGCGAACAACCCUUUGUGCGUACACACAAGAAGAAAAUCAGCAUGUGUGCGUACGCACACACCUGUGUGUACGCACACAUCCCAGC